GACGAACGCUGGCGGCGUGCUUAACACAUGCAAGUCGAACGGAACGUUCCUGCUUUUGUGCGCAGCUCGACUUGCGAACGGGUGAGUUACCCGUGAGUUACCCGUCCCUGACUUUGGGUUAACUUCAGGCAACUGGGGCUCAUCCCGCCUAGGAGCUCUCGCUGUUAGGUGGGGGCUGGUUAGUUUCGGCGGUUGGGGAUGGACUGGCGGCCUAUCGGCUUGUUGGUUGGGUAGUGGCUUACCAUGGCCUUGAAGGGUAGCCGGCCUGGGAGGGGGACCGGCCACAUUGGGACUGGGAUGCGACCCGGACUCCUACGGGAGGCAGCAGUGGGGAAGGGAACACAGGAGGCGGAAGCCUGAUGCAGCAACGCCGCGUGCGGGAUGACGUCCAUCGGGUUGGAUACCGAUUUCGCCUGUGACGAAGCGUGAGUGACAGUAAUGGGUAAAGAAGCACCGGCUAACUACGUG
rnacentral:rRNA from 1 species